AAAACACACGUUACAGAAGUUAGAGGUAGCUGGUGUUGUCAGCAUACAGAAUAUGCUUACUUGGCCUAGAAGCUACUAAUUUCUACAUCAUUCUCACCUAUAAAUUACGUAUGUUGUAGCCUAGCACGUGCGUAAAUCAAUGAGAAUAAUGCAAUUUAUGUAUCUAAACAUGUUUUGUUUUUUUGAACCUGCAACACAAAAAGGAAGUCAACUAGGGGAGUUUGAUGGAGCUAUAUUUUUAACCCUAUUCACCUGUAAUGCAUUAACAAUGCAGGCGUAUGUUAAUAAGCUCAUUCAGCCUGUUAAACAAAAUAUUCAGAAUCAAUAGCUCAAAAUUAUAUGAAAUGGUCUGUUCACUGGCCUCACCUCAAAUUUGCCAUCAGAAGAUCAUCUUUGAGAAUGUGGUCCCAGUUUGUGGCAGCCUUAGAAAUACUGCAUGUCAAUUGUUUGUGUGUCGUGUUUAAUAUAAUUGAAUGUUGCAUUGCAAUAUUACAACAGUUGUCACAAUUUCUCACAUAUUUCUUUUUCACAGCACAGAGUAAUAGUCUUUUUCCAUUCACGUCUUCCACGUCCACAUCCACGUGGUUGUGUUGCAGACUUGAAGUUAAGCACAGAGUAAUAGUCUUUUUAAAGACUUUUCCAUUCACGUCUUCAUUGGUUGUGUUGCAGACUUGAAGUUCAGGCUUGUUCCAGACCAGACCAGUUUGGUGGCUGGGUCCCUGUCUGUGUGCACAACACACUGACAACAUAACCUACUAAUAUACAUACAAACAUAUCUGAGCACAUAUUGGAGCACAUACCUAUCUGAACAUAUC